rnacentral:rRNA from 2 species
AUGGACGCAAGUCUGAUGGAGCAACGCCGCGUGAGUGAAGAAGGCUUUCGGGUCGUAAAACUCUGUUGUUGGAGAAGAAUGGUCGGCAGAGUAACUGUUGUCGGCGUGACGGUAUCCAACCAGAAAGCCACGGCUAACUACGUGCCAGCAGCCGCGGUAAUACGUAGGUGGCAAGCGUUAUCCGGAUUUAUUGGGCGUAAAGCGAGCGCAGGCGGUUUUUUAAGUCUGAUGUGAAAGCCCUCGGCUUAACCGAGGAAGUGCAUCGGAAACUGGGAAACUUGAGUGCAGAAGAGGACAGUGGAACUCCAUGUGUAGCGGUGAAAUGCGUAGAUAUAUGGAAGAACACCAGUGGCGAAGGCGGCUGUCUGGUCUGUAACUGACGCUGAGGCUCGAAAGCAUGGGUAGCGAACAGGAUUAGAUACCCUGGUAGUCCAUGCCGUAAACGAUGAAUGCUAGGUGUUGGAGGGUUUCCGCCCUUCAGUGCUGCAGCUAACGCAUUAAGCAUUCCGCCUGGGGAGUACGACCGCAAGGUUGAAACUCAAAGGAAUUGACGGGGGCCCGCACAAGCGGUGGAGCAUGUGGUUUAAUUCGAAGCAACGCGAAGAACCUUACCAGGUCUUGACAUCUUUUGAU